rnacentral:rRNA from 1 species
UAAGGAAUAUUGCUCAAUGGGAGAAAGCCUGACCCAGCAACGCCGCGUGAGGGAAGAAGGUUUUCGGAUUGUAAACCUCUGUCGCAGAUGACGAAGAAAGUGACGGUAAUCUGUGAGGAAGCCCCGGCUAACUACGUGCCAGCAGCCGCGGUAAUACGUAGGGGGCGAGCGUUGUCCGGAAUUACUGGGCGUAAAGGGUGCGUAGGCGGUUCUUUAAGUUGGAUGUGAAAUACCCGGGCUUAACCUGGGGGGUGCAUUCAAGACUGGGGAACUAGAGUUCAGGAGAGGGAAGCGGAAUUCCUAGUGUAGCGGUGAAAUGCGUAGAUAUUAGGAGGAACACCAGUGGCGAAGGCGGCUUUCUGGACUGACACUGACGCUGAGGCACGAAAGCGUGGGGAGCAAACA